rnacentral:tRNA from 1 species
GACUUGAUACUUUAAGGUAAAAGAUCUGAUUUGCAUUCAGACAAUAAGUUUUCAAACUUUCGGGUCA